GCACUCGUAGCUCAGCUUGGAUUAGAGCGAAAGGUUCCUAACCUUUAGGUCGCAGGUUCAAAUCCUGCCGAGUGCG
rnacentral:tRNA from 1 species